rnacentral:rRNA from 1 species
GAUGAACGCUGGCGGCGUGCCUAAUACAUGCAAGUCGAGCGAACAGACGAGGAGCUUGCUUCUCUCACGUUAGCGGCGGACGGGUGAGUAACACGUGUAUAACCUACCUAUAAUAGUGAUAUCACUUCGGGAAACCGGAGCUAAUACCGGAUAAUCUAUUGAACCGCAUGGUUCAAUAGUGAAAGACGGCUUUGCUGUCACUUAUAGAUGGAUCCGCGCCGCAUUAGCUAGUUGGUAAGGUAACGGCUUACCAAGGCAACGAUGCGUAGCCGACCUGUGAGGGGGAUCGGCCACACGGGAAGUGGGACACGGUCCAGACUCCUACGGGAGGCAGCAGUAGGGAAUCUUCCGCAAUGGGCGGAAGCUUGGCGGAGCAACGGCAAGUGAGUGAUGAAGGUCUUGGGAUCGUAAAACUCUGUUAUUAGGGAAGAACAAAUGUGUAAGUAACUAUGCACGUCUUGACGGUAACUAAUCAGAAAGCCACGGCUAACUACGUG